AAUUAGGUAGUAAUAGUUAUGACCUUGAAACUUUAAGAAUUUGACGGUAAUUCAUUCAUUU
rnacentral:tRNA from 1 species